CAUGGUUGUCGUCAGCUCGUGUCGUGAGAUGUUGGGUUAAGUCCCGCAACGAGCGCAACCUCGUUCUAUGUUGCCAGCACGUGAUGUGGGGACUCAUAGGAGACUGCCGGGGUCAACUCGGAGGAAGGUGGGGAUGACGUCAAAUCAUCAUGCCCCUUACGUCUUGGGCUUCACGCAUGCUACAAUGGCCGGUACAGAGGGCUGCGAAACCGUGAGGUGGAGCGAAUCCCUUAAAGCUGGUCUCAGUUCGGAUUGGGGUCUGCAACUCGACCCCAUGAAGUCGGAGUCGCUAGUAAUCGCAGAUCUGCAACGCUGCGGUGAAUACGUUCCCGGGCCUU
rnacentral:rRNA from 1 species